AAAAAUAAUUAUUUAAUUUGAAAUUGUUUUGGUUGAUUGGCUUACGUGUAAAUAUGAAUUCUGUGUUAAAAUUUGAUACCCUUAAAAUAAAGUUUUAUUGUGGCUUUAAGCUCGGUUGGUAAUAACUUUACAUGUAAUUUUUAGUUUAGAAAUUUAGUUUAGGCAGUAAAUAGAUUUAAUGAUUAAGGAAUCUUAGAAUUAGGUAUUUAUAUUAGUAUAGACAAAUCUUGUGCCAGCAGUUGCGGUUAGACAUGAUAUACUUCUGAGUUUAGUUUGGGUGAUAAUUAUCUUUUUUAUUUAAAGUGAGGACUGAUUAUAUAAGGUGAAAUUUUAUAAUUAGUUUAGUUUAUUUUUUAUUGAAAUAUUAUUAGAUUUUAAAAAUAAACUAGGAUUAGAUACCCUAUUAUUAUAAAUGUAAAAUUUAACUCCUGAGAAGUAUUAGGUGUUCUUGAAAUUUAAAAAAUUUGGCGGUGUUUUAGUCUAUUCAGAGGAACCUGUCCUGUAAUUGAUAAUCCACGAUUAAUUUGACUUGUUCUUUAAGUUUGUAUAUCGUCGUUAUUUGAAUAUCUUUUUAAGGAUAAAUAUUCGAUUUUUAAAAUUUUAAUUGAAAUCAGAUCAAGGUGCAGUUGACGUUCAAGUAGAGAUGGGUUACAAUAAAUAAAUUUUUAUGGUUUGGGAGGUGAAAUUCUUACAAUAAAUUGGAUUUGAUAGUAAAAUGAAUAAUUUAAUUGAUUUGAUCUAAGCUCUAAAAUAUGCACAUAUCGCCCGUCGCUCCUACUAUAAGGUAGGAUAAGUCGUAACAUAGUAGGUGUACCGGAAGGUGUACCUGGAAAG
rnacentral:ncRNA from 1 species